UUUAAUCCCAGAUGACCUUGACC
rnacentral:piRNA from 1 species